rnacentral:lncRNA from 1 species
UGCAUAGCGUAGGGAUCGAUAAAAGUGGAAUAUUACGUGGGUGAUGUUUCCAUAGGGGUUAGAGCGGAGGUCUUCCAAUAUUUCAUGGUAGACGAUAUUGUGGGUGCUUUGUAGAAUUGCUUCUUGUGGAUUGCCGAUAAUAUUGCGGCUGGUAGGUUACGGGGUAGAUUGCCACGUAUGUAGUUGAGAUUUCGUGUUAAUGUUCAUAUGAGCAAACCUGUUGUCAAUGUGAUGGUUAAUGAAUACAUCUAGGAAUGGAAGGGAAGCACAUAUUGAGAGCAUAUGACGUACGGAUUGUAGUAGUGCUGGAAAAGUUCAUGGAACGGUGCAAAAAAAUUCGUGAGGAAUCUGUGUUUUCCAAGACCACAACGUCAUCUGGGAUAAAAAAAACAUGGAAAGCGUAGUUAAGAAGCGGAGGACAGAUGACCGCAGGAAAAUGUUCAGGGAUACUUGGUUCACCAGCUAGGUUAGAAACUGUAAUGGUCGUACAUAUGCAAAUAACAUGGGUUUAUUAUUCUGCAUCAGCUAUGCGGCAAAGUGAGAAUGUAUCGAUGGAGGAAAAAUGUGUAUAACGAACAGCAACAUGAUAAUAACUGAAAGAUGACCUCAUAGUUGUCAACAAAGAUUUCAAGGAGAUUAUAUGGUUGACCAGUAAGCAAUGUGUAAGUCAGUUGGUGAAAAGUGUACCUUAAAUAUUCCAGGGUAAUGAUACAGUUGUGUUGUCCAGCCUACAAUGUCUAACAGGUGGCAGACACAUGUUAUAUCAGUUUGGUGGAUGAAACAAGGAGGUAUUGAGAGUAGUGGGCAGAGGUGGAGAUCUGCACUCUCAGUUUGCGAGCUAUGCAUCAAGCGGGUGGUAGGCAUCUGUACGAUUGGGUAGGCACCAUGUGAGAAGAAGGGUUUAGUCUGGUCCUCAUCAAUAGGGGUUGCUAAAUGUGCAGGCAUGACAACCAAGGAGACAUGGGAUGAGGAGGAUCGUAGAGCAACAUGGAGCUUGCUAUGUAUGGCAUGUAUAUUUUGUAGAUACCCCCACCCUCAUCAAAGGGCGAACAGUUGGAGCAAGAGCCGGGCUUGUGUAGCCUUCGAGCCGAUUUUUUAUUUUCCUGCACACACAGUAGGAAGAAAACUCUAACAUACAAACUACAGUUGCCAUCCAUGAUGAAACCGUGGCGGCAGAGGGUAGAUAAUACAACAAGGUCGAUCCAUUGGGUAUAUAAAGGUGUAACAGGUAACAUGUGAAAACCCAGAGGCUCUGCCCAUAGUGGAGUACUCAAAAUAGGAAAGUUCCUUCAUUUUGGCAGAUGGCCAACAAAUCUGAUGUUGCUGUGAACAUAUGGCAUUUUGGCGGAAGUAGAAUGGGUAUGGAAUGAGAGCAAGAAUUGAAACCUUAGAAAGAGUGAAGGGAACUGUGGAUUGAACCUGGUGGCGUAUCGGUGGUGUUGUGCAGAGGACACAUUGCGGACAAAAUGGCUGGAGAGAUGGGUCAUGGGUGUGGGAACGCGGGUUGAAAGUUCC